UGCACAUGUAUAAUUUACAAGAAACAAACACUGUCGUCGGAGCAUCCCCUUGAGGCGUGAAAGCCUACUUGCAUGGGAGGGGAAGGAUCUGUAUUUUUAUUUUGCUUCUUCAUAAACCCCAGGCACAAGUCACAGCACAAACUUCCGCCAUCAGGCACUGAUCUGCUCCAGAUAUGAAAUGGUGCAGCUUUCUGAAUGUCCUCAAAGACCACCAGAAAACAGUUCUGCAAGGGUGGAAGCCAGCGCCUCCUGUCUCUUCUCAGUCACGUAGAAUUUAGAACUUAUACUCACUCCCCAAACCCUACCCCUUCCUUUCCCCCUCACCAAUGGCGGAGGCGCGGCUGGGUGUACCUGGCCUGUUGGCAGUUGACCGUGCGAUAAAGCACUUCGCUUUGACGAGCCAGACCCCCAGUUCCCACUCACUGGUUCCCAGACUCGGGGUGCGGCAGGCCUGGCUGCCUCCUCCGGGCCCUGCCAGCGACGCGUGCGUGCCUGCAGCUGGCGGGCCGGGCGUCCAGGCCUGCGGGGCGCCCGCGGGGUGCAGGGUGCCGCGUGGCCCGGCGCCGCGUUAGGGUUAGGGCGCCGGAUUCGGCUUCCCGGCGGCAGAGGGCGCCUGGCGCCGCGCUCCCGCGCCCCGGAGCCGCCCGCGAGGCGCGAGCAGAGGCGAGGCGGGCGAGCGGCGGCCCCUGCCACGUACCCGGCCGUGCGCGGCGGCGGCAGGAAUCACUCAGGUCACCCUGACUGGAAGUCAGCUGACUGGCGUCACUGAAACAACAGCUCCUGAGUUUGAAGAAAAGGCUGACCUUUCCGGUCUCUUCAGUUGGAAGGCUUUCCUCUGUGUUUGAUACCAGUUGCCCCGGGACUGAACGGAGCCCUCUAAACAGGCCCAUAUUCUCCAGGUAUGAGUUGCAGGGCCCGUGACCAAUACCACCGCUCUGUUCCUAGUAAUACCUGAGGAGAGAGAUCAGCAGAGCUCAUGAUGCUGUAACUGAAGAAUUUAUUGUUGGGCUGUGCACUUAUAGUCGUAACAUAAAGCAAAUUAAAAGAAGAUUUUAUUGUGUAUUUCCACCAUAUAUUGUCCUGUCACAUGGAGGAAUUUUCAUACAAGUAUUAUACUUAGAGUACUAACCUCCCCCAUGUCUCCACUGUCCCCUUUCACCCGUUAGUCCCUUUCUUUCCCUGGACAAUUUUACUUCAUGUGAUGUAUACAUAUAUACAUCAUUUUAUAUCUCCAUGAAAUCUAGGAAGCACAAAAAGAGAAAACUGAAAUUUGUCUUUCUGAGACUGACUUAAUUUACUUAAUAUGACUAUUUCUAGCGGCAUCCAUUUUCUUGCAAAUGACAUAAUUUUGCCUUUAUGGCCGCAAAAAAAUUCCAUAUAAACCAAAUUCUUUCUCUCCAUUCCUCUUGUCAUUAGAUACCUAAGGGUUUUUGUUUCCUUUGGGUACCUGUGAUGCUGGGGCUGGGACAGAGGCAGCUGCGCUCCUCCUAGUUGAACUUGGUCUCGCUGGUUGCACUGCAUCCUGAGCUGGCGCAGUGGCAGGGACACUCAGUGAGAGAAGAUGACAGAAGCGUCAGCACAGAGACCCCUCAGGUGCUCGUCAUUCCCCAUGAUUCCUUUGUGCUGUCCCGUCCUUUCUGUUUCUUGUUCAACAGUUGGCAAACCUGGGUAUGGCAGGGGCACCUCGAGCUCCAUGUGGCCAUGGUUUAGCUCUUCCCAGAUCUCUGCUCUCCCUCCUCACAAAUGUCUGCCCUCCCUCCCUCCUCACAGAUGUCUGCCCUCCCUCCCUCCUCACAGACCUCUGCUCUCCCUCCCUCCUCACAGAUCUCUGCUCUCCCUCCCUCCUCACAGAUGUCUGCUCUCCCUCCCUCCUCACAGACCUCUGCUCUCCCUCCCUCCUCACAGACCUCUGCUCUCCCUCCCUCCUCACAGAUGUCUGCUCUCCCUCCCUCCUCACAGAUGUCUGCUCUCCCUCCAUCUUAUCCAGGUGGAGAGUGGUUCCCUUGCUUUUCCUUUUAAGCCAAGACUUGGAGAGUCAUCUGGGCCUAGUUGCCUUUUCUCCUUCCAAUCUUGAAGGCCUCAGUACUUUUCUCAAAGUUAAUCUCACCCUCAUGCACUCCUUCCCAGUCCAGACCAGCUUCCUGUUGUCAGCUGGCUGCCUGGCACUUCUCUGUCUCUGUCCUGACCCUCCCUCUGGGCUGAGAGUUAUCUUGACAGUACAACCAUUGUUCUUCUUCCUGCCCUUGGAUGGAGCCUGUAGGCUUGAGGGGACUGUGUGCACUGAAGAUUGCCAUAACGCUGAUCUUCCUAGUGCAGGAAGAUACUGUCAGGCUUUCAAAGGCCUAAGUGGGAUGGCUGUGGUGUUAUAGGACAUGGAACGGGGUGGGGGUGAUUUGUUCCCAAGAAUUACGGAGUUUCAAUUCUUAGACCUCAGAGGUGAAUCAUUGUUUCAUUUGGGAUUUUGAUAAGCUCACAGCUGCUACAUACUGAAAAAACAUUUUAACACCUCCUUCCUUCCCGAGUGACCCUCUCCCUCUAAUAUUCUUGGCGUAAGAAUGUUUAGUAGCAACGUCACUCGGACUCAUGACUACAUCUAGUGGUAGAAAAGAGCAAGACCAAUGUCCUGCAGAGGAGGAAGAAGGCUCAAGCUGGCAGAUUGGCCCUCCUGUUAAACACAUUCUUUUCCGCAGCAUCUGCUGUUCUUAUCUGACCUUGAAUUUUCUCUGGUGUGUAGUUUCACAGUCCAGCACGGCUCUUUACCUAACACCCCAUCCUCACCGGCUUCCUGGUCAAGAUAAUGAACAGGGGAUAGUGAUUUGGUGCAGUGUACUCUCUAAGGAACUCAGCUGUCCUGUGAUCUUAAAUUUGAAAUAAUAUGACUGAUGAAUCAUGACAAAAAUGACCACGAUUUGUCUCACAAGGAGAGUUCUACGGGUGUUGCAAGCACUGUGGUUGAGUUUAUGCCCAGUGACCCUAGGUGCUCAGGUGACUCCUUCCUCACCUUCGGAAUAGAAAGUAAUGUGAACUUUACGGUAUGUCUUAAGGGGAACUGCCAAGCGCUUCAGACAGUAGGAGGUCCCCAGGACUGUUGGGGACACGUGGUGGGGCAUGAGCUCUGGCAGGUGGGUAGGCGCUAGAUUGUGGAGGACCUUACUUGUGAACAGGGUUAAACAAGGAGUUUGGCUUCUUUAGCUAGAGGAACAUUGUUGAGAAAUUUAUGUUAGGGAGUUCUGGGUCAGAUUCCUCUUUGGAAUAUGGCUGCCUUCUUCCUCACGUCCUCCCCAGCCAAAAGGCAGUGGUCUGAUUCCCAUGUUGUGUCUUUUAAUCUAUUCUUUUUUUUUUAAAUACGUUUUAUUGUGUGUUUGUGUUUGGGAUGGAGAUGCGCUAAGGCAUGUGUGUGCAUCAGAGAACAUGUGUGUUUGUGUUUGGGGUGGAGAUGCAUUAUGACGUGUGUGCACCAGAGAACAGCUUGAGGGGUCAGUUCUCUUCACCACGUGGUUCUUGGGGAUCAAAGGCAGGCUACAAGGCUUGGUAGGAAGCACCUUUACCUGUUGAGCCAUCUCUCCAGCUCCUUUGAUCUGUCCUGUGAGGCCUGACCCCAGUUUACUGAUUAACCACGAAGGUGACAUGCCGCUGGAUGCACUGGUCAGCGAGUGCCUUGCAGGAGUCUGGGGGCGGGGGCUUCUGUACUCUCAGUGUUACUAGCCAGGGCUCUGCUGUGUGUGGACAUUCUGGCUUCAGGCUCCCUCGGAUCUUGGAAACAGCACUCUCAUGGUGCUGUGUCAGCAAAAUCGUAACAGUUUCUAGCUGCUGGGAAUCUAUAUGUUUAAUGGUCAGUUACUGCUCGCUUGACUUUCUUGUUAUUAGUCUGAUAGGUUGGCUUUUAACCCUGCAUAUCGAGUAAUGCUUUUUUAUGAGAGUGAUAUUUUUAUGCUGAAAAAGUUUCCAGCGACUAUACUUUCAGACAGACAUGAGGUUAGGUGAGUCAUCUGUACCCCUCUGCUGAGGAUGUUCACAUCUCCCGUAUCUGCUGCCACAGUGAUUUUGAAGUUUGCUUUUGUUGGGAAGGGGAAGUGAGGGGGAUGGGCGGGUAUAGUACGCUUUACCCUGCCUGUGUGGGCAGCAGUUUUAUAUGGGGCUAGGCUUAUUUUCAUACCUAGGGCUUGAGAGAGUACUGAGUUUAGGAGAAAACACAGGUUACUCAACUGUUUUGGCAACCUUCAGAAAGAAAGAUCAGGCCUGAAUUCAAGGCUAUGGGGACAGAGAAGAGAAGGGGACAUAGGAGCAGAAUCGGGAAUGAGAAGGGCAGGGAUAGAGUGUCUAUGCCAGGAGUGAUGCUGGGGAGGAGAGGUUGGGGAAAUCCAUGCUUUGGCUCCAGCAGUGUUAACAAGAGGAGUAGGCUGGCACCAGUCAGAUGGGAAAGCUUGAAGUAGCAAUGUUUUCCCACUCUGUACAGACAGAUAUGCGACUGUGGAUGGGCCAUGGUCCAGGGCCAGGUCCACACUUCACACGUGAAGGACCUUGAAGGCCCAGCCACAUCAGCACCGUGUAGCAUUGGCAGUUGGAGUCAAUAGGCCUCUUGGUUGAGUGGCCCUUGGCUCUGUUGACAUCCUGACAUUUGGGGGUUGAGGGACUGGGGGGCAGGUCAGAUGGGCACUGAAUGUCAGUGGGGACUGCAGCUCUGCCUUCCCUGGGCUAUAGAGAGUUCAGAUUCUAGGUUUAUUACUGUAGGAGCCUGGUGAGCCCCGUCAAGAGCACGUUAGCAGCGGGGAGUGGUGGCGGCAGUGGGCACUGACUGACUUAGGCCCUUGGAAUGGACUUAUUGACAGUCCAUUCCAUGCUAGAGGUCUCCGUGGGCAGAGGCCAUGCUAACCUGGAAUACUGGGAAGUCUAAGAUGAGCACCUUCUGUGCUCUAAAGCCUUUUAGUUCUGUGCAGUUUACCCAGGCUGCCCACCUCGAUACCUACUUUAGAAAGUCAGCUUAAAGUCCAACCAAAAGAUGGCAUCUCAAUUUAAGGCUAAAUUGUUAUCAACUUGUUAUUGACAAAUGAACCUUAGUAGCUCAAGGUCCUUGUCUGAUGGGGCCAUUUUCUGUCUCCCACCCCAAGACCCAUUCUUAGGAAACUCCCAGUGAACACACACUGCUAUCCCAGGGAACAACACUAUUUGGUAAACAUUUAGAGCACCCAGUUCACUGCCUGCCUUUUGCAAAAUAGUUUAACUUUUUCAGGAGUCUGGGGCUACCGUGAACCCAGAUUAUAAGCCUCGAGAUGUUGCCAAUCACCCUUCAGUCUCUUGAACCCAUCUAUCCAGUCCUGCAGCUUUCCAGGCCACUGAGUGCUUCAACCUUUCCCUGUGCUCCCGGCUUGUCCCUCUCACACAGCACACAGUUGUCUGUGAUCGUCUUCCUCAGUCAGAACUGGAGUCCGAGACCAGGUCCACCACCGCCAUCGGACGCGCGCGCAGAGUUGCUUUGUGUCUGGUGAGUCGUGGCUGUUUCCAAGACCUGGCAGGCAGUCAUCACAGUCACCGCAGGCAGUCAACACCAGGCAGACAGUGGAUGGAGUUUGCCAGUGAAUCUGCGCAUGUGGGUCCCGGCACAUUGGUGCACGACGAAUGUCUGUGGAGUAAAUGAAGUGUGGUGUGAGUUCUUCUCUGUCUUCAUCUCCAGGUCCGGCCCUGCAGGUCAUUGAGCCCCAGUUUCUUUAGAGAUGAAGGCCCACAUGCAGAGUUUUGGGAAUAGAAAGUUCCAUUCUUUUUUGAAAAAUGCAGGCAGCCCUUCACUUUUUGAUGUAUCUGCCAUCAGCUGGGAUCUGUGAUUUACUUACUAUACUUUAGCUUAGAGAUGGAUUUUUCAUUUUAAAGGUUCACUAGACACUGAUGCUUGUGGUAUUUUGGUUGUUGAUGAAGUCUGUGCCUGUAAGAACCGAGGGCUGUGUUCAUGUCUAGAAAGGAGAGGGGAGUGUGUCCAGAUCUGGCCUUAGAAACAUAGGGAUGGGCUGACAGGUUCUAGUCAAAUUAUAGUGUUCUUAUUUGGGGUACCCCAUAGUGCAUCUGCUGUGGGUGAGAUGGCACCACAGCAUGAAGUGCAUGUCCUCUUGAGGAGCAUGUUUUGAUCUGGAGAAAUGACAUAGAAAGAAUAUUAACCAUGGAUAGUGUUGGAUGAGAAUUUAACAAGCUUAUUAGUGAAGCAAAGGCCAUGGAGCCAGUCUGCUCAGGUUUGACACUGAUCCACUACCUGUUUGUGCUCUGGUGUCUGGGCCAAUUCUUGAACCUUUAAACUGGCUUUUUGUCUCUGGGAUGAGGGCCUGGUGCCCAGGGAGAGCUGGGGGCCCGAGGAUGUUGUCAGGGGUCAGUGGGAGCCACGGAUGGCUUUGUCGUGAUGUCUGACACUGUACAAACAAGGCUAAUGUUACAGAUGAUGUCUUGACAUUUGAAGACAAUAGAGCAGACAAAAUGGAGUUUUAUUCUUUGGCUGCCUGUGCUCCAAGCCUGGCCUUUAAAGAAGGAUGACUCUGUUCUGUCUAUUUCAGAUGGAGAAAUUAGAGAAAUGUUGUCUUAAACUAAAUACAUGCUGUUGGCUAGUCUGCACCUCUUCAUGAAGUCUCCCUGGAACCUGGCUUUAGUCCUAAGCUGUUGUAGAGUUGAGCUGUCAUUGGCCAGGGAUGAGUUGGUCUAGCGUGGAGUGCCUGCUGUCUUAAAGUGUCUAACUGAGUAUUGGGUGAAGCUGAGGUGCUGUGGGUUUGCAUAAGGAUUUGUCACUGAGGAAUGGCGGCGUAGAAGAGCUGGUCUCACUCCUGGGUACCUUCACACAUGUGAUGUCCUUUCUGUCUCAGGGAAACCUGUUUAUCAGGUAGAGAAUGCUCCAGAAUAGAGAGAACAGCAGCUAUCGUGGGCCUGUGACCCAACUGUAGAAUUUCUUCUGCAGCCUGCAGUUCCUCUUCUGCCUCCUUUGACCUCUUCUAAAGAUGGAGAGCUCCCUGCCUCAAAAGCAGUCCAGGCUAGCCCCCUGUAACUUCUGUCCAGGGGUCAGGGUUCCUCUGGGGCCCCAGCUUUGACCUCAGCUCACUCACUCGAUCAUGGGAGGUGUCUGUGAGACCAGCCUGUGCUCGUGAGGUCUCCCUUUCAAUACUCGGACACUUCUGGGCCAAGAUUAUUUUUUCAUAAGCAGGCGAGUUAUGCAAUUGUAAGCUAGUCUGGGAAAUGUGGCGAUAACUCAGACUGAAAAGGGAGGGCUGUGGCUUAGUGGGCGUGGUAGAGCUGAGAUCUGGUAGUGUUUGCUGACAGAGCAGCUGUCUCACCUUGUUUAGGAUGCUAUGCCUCAGCCACCACAGCUCUCCAGCAGUUCCAUGCCCUUCCUGAGCAGGUGCUCUGUGACUUCCCCUACUCCCUCUCUUUGCCUGCUUUCCAUAUUGUUUUUCAUGCACAGUUAGUUGUCUUGUCAGUGUUUCUGUCCUGACGAGAGCUGAUGGGUAGAUGCUUGCAUUGUGCUCAGUAUGCAGCGGGUCUUGGCACACUUAGCUCCCCAGGUGUAACUGCUCACUGGAGCAUAGAGAGGCCUAGUGGCCCACUUGUAGCUAUAGACCAACAAAUGGAAAAACCAGGGCUCUGCCAGUCCUCGCUGAGUAAUUGUCUGCUGAGAGGUUUGUGGGGGGCUGCAUGUUCCUCCUUCCUGCUUGCCCUGCCCCCACCACAGCUGCUCAGAGGCUCUGAUGACCCACCUGUGGUCACAUCAAGUGGGCACUCCUUCUUCCCCAAACCCCUUCUUCAGUUGGCUUCCAGGGCAUCCUGCUCUUACCCAUUUUUUCCUGAUUCUCUUUUAUCUCUUACCAGUUUCUUUUAACUCCCCAAGCUCCAAGCAUUGGUUGGCAGCAGGGCUUGGUUCUCAGACUCUGUUUUGGCCUGCGGCUACUCAUGAACUUUCUGUGACCACAUUUCAUCUCCCAUUAUCUCCUGAAUCCAGACCAGCUCCUUGAACUGAAGGUUGGGUCCUGUCCAGCUGCCUACUCAGGGUCUUGAUGUAGUCUGUCAGGAUCUCAGAGUUGACUCACAUGUCCAGGUUCCUAUUUCUCUGUAUCCCCCACUCCUCCAGUGUCUUCCCUACCGAGCUCUGUUUUUCUCAUGCCGCUCUCCCUAUCUGUUGGCCUCUCUAAGUGCACCCAGCAUGUGACCACAUCUGCCCUCGCUCUGGACCAAGUCCCCAUACCACAUGAAGGGUUUGUUAGUUUCACCUGAGUCCCUUGUUUCAGUCUUUGCCUCUAGUGAGUUUUUCUAUAGAGUCCUUAUUAUAAAAUGUUAGCAGAUGGCUCCUGGGGCCUCACGUGCCCUUGGCCUGCUCCCACUUUCUGAUCGUUCCCCAUGAUACUCUCCUGCCCUCUGCAGCCUCACUGGCCGCACUGUCAUGCUACGGUGUGCCCGACAUGCCCACCAGAGGGACUGACUUUGCUCUGCUGCCCAUCUGGAAGGUCGUCCCAGAGAUCUUGACGGGCUGUUCCUCACCUUCUUCCAGGCUCUGGUCCAGGCUCACUUUCUUCUGAAUCCCUCUGCCACCAUUGGCAGAAAGUUGGCAGCUUCCUGGAGGCUGGGUGUCUGCCUUCUCACAUCCCCUGUGAAGGAAGAGCACUUGCUACUUAGGGCAACAUUUCUGCCCGCGUGGUUCAUAGCUGGCUCCUUGCCAUUGUCUGAGUCAAGAAAUAUUUGAAUGAGAGGUAUUUUUAUCUCUGAUUUGCAAUGAAAUAAUUGAAGGUCUAAGAGGCUAAGUGUUUGGCCAGAGUCGCCAUCCCUAGAAUUACUGGGCUAGAGCUGAGACCCUGCCGUGUCCCCGAUUGCUGUGUGUGUGUGUUGUCUUUUCUUAUUGCAAAUGCCACACAGAGUGGCUGUGAGGAUAAGAGGGAUAGUGCACAGGAAAGCACUUUGCAAACCCCAGUUUCUAAGACAUGUAACCUGCCCAAGGCACUGAGAACCCUGGAUGCCCACGCUGCUUCUGUUCAGCAGCCCCCAGAUUCUCCUGUGUCCUGGGACUUCUCUUUAGGCAUGACUGUUUCUGGUGUUGUCAAAUUUUAUCUUUUCUUGGUCCUUCUGCCCUCACUGUGAGGUGUGCUUCUGUGUGUAGUCCUGAUCUCCUAUACCACACACACACACACCCCUGGCCUGUUAGCCAGAGGGGACGGAGGAGCAGGCUCCUGCAUGGCCCUCACUGUUUGUUCUUGUGUGUUUCCAGGAAAGCACUUAGGUUAGCCGCAGGAGCUCAGCGGGAGUCUCUUUCUCAGUCUCCCUAGCAGCCUGCCUGCCCCUUGCCCCUACUCUGUGGAAGGGUGGAGUGAAGGAAUCCCAGUACACAGUAGGAGAAAAAGGCCAUGCAGGUCUUAGCCGGCUCCAUAAACUACCUUCUUUGGUAUUGAGCAAUGAGACCUACACUGAGAACAGGCCAGCCAUCUGCCCGGGACCUGGUUCCUGGACUCUCCAUGUGUUGAGUGGUCAGAUACAGUUGCCAUAGUCCUCAGCUUCUUACUAUGGACUCCAGGCCAGAUCAAGCUGUAAUUGGUGAGCACAACUCCAAUUCUGGGCUGUCUCCGUGCUGGCCCUUGUCAGUGUAGUGCUGGGCAGAGAAAGCUACACUGACCCACAGGGGUUUGGAGCUGCCUUGAGUUCGUACUCACUAUGACAGGAUGCAGCCUGGCUUUUUACCUGGCGCUGCAGCGUAGGCACCAGCAGGAUUCUCGGGCUCACAAUGACGUAAGUGGUGUCUCUUCAGAAACUGGAGUUUGCAGAGAGCUUUCUGGCCUGGUGCUCUUGACAUCAGCACAAGCCUGCCUUGAGCUGGACUCUGUCCGUAGCAAGUGAGACAGCCUGCAGGCCUCACGUUCUUCCUGUGGCCUCAGACUGUAGAGCCGAUGAACAGGACAGGUGGUCCAGAGGCUUGUGGAGAGGAUGCUGCUGGCCGUCUUGGAGCAGCCGCAUGGAGCAGCACCUGUCCGUAAGGAGCUGGGCUGGACACACAGCUGGGCCUGUUUGGGACUCGGGGCCUGCAGCUCCCAGCCUCAGUUUCCUGUCUGCAUGUUUGUAGAGUGCUAUUGGGGAGGGCUUGCCUGGGAAGCAGCAGCUACUGUUCUCAGUUGUGGGUGACUGGUGGCCCCAUGGAGUACAAAGAGGGUGAGCUGCUUUCAGUCUGUCCUGAGUUCAGAUCUUAGUCAGUUAUUGCUCAUUAAAUGUUUCAUGCAUGUUUACUGUGGAUUUUCACCGGACUUGACCUUGUGCUGGUUCCCUCACAGUCUUUAAACUUGGAAAGUUCAUUGUGCUGAUCUGAAUUUCUUCCAUCAUGUAGAAUAGUAGAAGUGGCGAUCCUAGGGACCAUGGUCAGUGUGAAGCGAGGGCUCAAAGUGGUCCAUAAUUCCUACCUGCGUCUUCCCAUUCUGACGGUUUGCUGAAGAACUGCCUCAGUUCGGCCUUCGUCCUCCAUCCAGCACAUUUCUGCUAAGUGCCUGUUACUCUCAGUGUUUCCCGACAACCCAGGGGGUUCAUUUGCCGUCCCCGAGAAGUGGGGAGUAAGUGGCAGAGGCCCAGCCAGUGAGGCAGUGGCCACCAGCUUGGGCUCUUGUAAAGGCACAAAUUGAGUCAUGAGGUCACAGAUAAGGAGCCAUUUCUUCUGCCAGGAGAGUGUCGGGAAGGUUAUGAGUGAGAGUUGACCAAGGUUGGGACGGGCUGUGGCAGCUGAUGGUGCCCAGAAGAGGGUGCCCAAGGGGAAGUACCGGAUUGAUUGUGAGUAUAGGUGCCCAGUGUGUUGGUGGCCAUGGGUCAUGCCGCUUUAGGAGGCCUGGGAAAGCCAGUGGUGCUGGGCUGUGAAAACCCUGGGGAGCUGUCACUGCGGUGGGUGAAGCCCGUGUUGCUGACAUUUCCAGGAGGGCAGAGCCUAAGGCUCCUUAUAGCACCGUUUGAGCUCAGCAGUGUCUACGACAAGUGUUGUACAAGCUACUGAGGGAAUGAAAAUGCUCCUAGGAGCCAAAUUAAGACAGGGAACAGGUGAAGGCAACUCUUUGGGUAUCCAAAAUAUUAUCAUUUCAACAUGCAAUUUUUGGCACUAAUCUACCAAAAUAUGGUCUGUAUUAAGCAACAUGGCUCAUUUUGAAGAUCUGUCAGUUUAAGGUUUUAUAAAUUAUGUGAAUGUGUCUCUGUGUGGGUGUGAGCAGGUGUGUACGUGUUGUAAGAACUGCGGGUUGCAUUCUGACACCCAGCUCCCACCACCGGCUAGCUUUACCCAAAAUAACAACACACAAACUGUAUUCUUUUAAACACUGCUUGGCCCAUUAGCUCUAGCCCUUACUGGCUA